UGCAGUCGCAGGGGAUUCACUUCUUCGGAGGUGAUGAGACUGGCGCACGGGUGCGUAACACGUAAGCAAUCUGCCUACAGGAGGGGGAUAACCACCCGAAAGGGUGGCUAAUACCGCAUAAUGCAGCGGGGCCGCAUGGCCACAGUUGUUAAAGCCCUUCGGGGUGCCUGUAGAUGAGCUUGCGGUGCAUUAGGUAGUUGGUGAGGUAAUGGCUCACCAAGCCUGUGAUGCAUAGGGGUUCUGAGAGGAUGAUCCCCCACACUGGAACUGAGACACGGUCCAGACUCCUACGGGAGGCAGCAGUGAGGAAUAUUGCGCAAUGGGCGAAAGCCUGACGCAGCCACGCCGCGUGCCGGAAGACGGUCCUUUGGAUUGUAAACGGCUUUUAUCAGGGAAGAAACGACUGGAUUAGUCCGGUUUUGACGGUACCUGGUGAAUAAGCACCGGCUACUCCGUGCCAGCA
rnacentral:rRNA from 1 species